UCUCCCAUCUGUAUAAACUUGGAAUUAAAUGAAAGGCAGUUGAUGAGUCAAACAUAGAAAAAUGUUUUAAUUGUUCGGUGACAGACCGCCGACUUUUCUUCUCGUGGCCAAUUAGCACAUUGUCUAUAACCUAUAUGGAUGUCUCUUUUUCUUUUUUUUGUUUGCUGGAAGAUAAUGGGUUAAUAGAAGUAAGGUUUUGCGUUUAGGCAAGCGGUUGUAGUUCUGAACAAUGCAAAAAGAUAAUUAUGUAAAUAACAACAGAAACGUAUAUAGGGUGUCCCGCGUAUAUGUCAAAUUCAACAAACUUUUUUCUGUUCAAUAUUUUUAAGUUUUUCU